GAUGAACGCUGGCGGCGUGCCUAAUACAUGCAAGUCGAGCGAACAGACGAGGAGCUUGCUCCUCUGACGUUAGCGGCGGACGGGUGAGUAACACGUGGAUAACCUACCUAUAAGACUGGGAUAACUUCGGGAAACCGGAGCUAAUACCGGAUAAUAUUUUGAACCGCAUGGUUCAAUAGUGAAAGACGGUUUUGCUGUCACUUAUAGAUGGAUCCGCGCCGCAUUAGCUAGUUGGUAAGGUAACGGCUUACCAAGGCAACGAUGCGUAGCCGACCUGAGAGGGUGAGCGGCCACACUGGAACUGAGACACGGUCCAGACUCCUACGGGAGGCAGCAGUAGGGAAUCUUCCGCAAUGGGCGAAAGCCUGACGGAGCAACGCCGCGUGAGUGAUGAAGGUCUUCGGAUCGUAAAACUCUGUUAUUAGGGAAGAACAAAUGUGUAAGUAACUAUGCACAUCUUGACGGUACCUAAUCAGAAAGCCACGGCUAACUACGUG
rnacentral:rRNA from 1 species